rnacentral:rRNA from 1 species
AGUCUCUGUCUAUACCAGCCUGAAUGUCUUGAGUGUCAUCUGAUCUGGGAAGCUAAGCAGGUUUGGGCUGGGUUAGUAUGUACAUGGGAGAAUUUAGGGAGGCAUUUGGAAGCUGACAAUC